UACAGAGGUCCCAAGCGUUGUUCGGAUUCAUUGGGCGUAAAGGGUGCGUAGGCGGCGCGGUAAGUCGGGUGUGAAAUCUCGGAGCUUAACUCCGAAACUGCAUUCGAUACUGCCGUGCUUGAGGACUGGAGAGGAGACUGGAAUUUACGGUGUAGCAGUGAAAUGCGUAGAUAUCGGGAGGAAUACCGAUGGCGAAGGCAGGUCUCUGGGCUAUAACUGACGCUCAUGCACGAAAGCGUGGGGAGCAAACAGG
rnacentral:rRNA from 1 species